rnacentral:lncRNA from 10 species
GCUGCAGACGUGGCCGCCCAGGGAGGCCAGCCGGCCGGGCCGCCCGGCUUGGGGACAGGGCCGAGACCCCAUCUCAGGCCCUUCCCGGCCCUUCAACUUCGGUGAAUCCCACAUCCUUUUCUCGCCUCGGUUCCUCAUUUGAGAUUCAGCGUCUUUGCCUUUGAGACGAUCCGCUCCCCAACUGCCCAAACCCCUCCGUGU